UACGAAUGGGGCAAGCGUUAUCCGGAAUGAUUGGGCGUAAAGCGUCCGCAGGUGGCAAUGUAAGUCUGCUGUCAAAGCGUCUGGCUCAACCAGAUAAAGGCAGUGGAAACUACAUAGCUAGAGUAAGGUAGGGGUAGAGGGAAUUCCUGGUGUAGCGGUGAAAUGCGUAGAGAUCAGGAAGAACACCGGUGGCGAAAGCGCUCUGCUGGACCUUAACUGACACUGAGGGACGAAAGCUAGGGGAGCGAAUGGG
rnacentral:rRNA from 1 species